UGGUGCUGCAGUGAUGGCUGCCUGCUGAAUUUCAGCCCCUGCUCCAGGAGGGGGGUAAAAUACCCUUUGGCACAAUGAAGAUGGCCACGGUCAAACAGAUGCUACUCAUUCUGCUUUGUUGCUCCAUGGAGAAAAAUGGAGGGGAAAGGCUUUUGCUGAAGCACUGGCUCUCCCAGGUGUGUGUGGGGAGAUAACAGCCUGCCGAGGGGGGUAAGCACUGCUGUCAGCAAAAUGCAUGGUGUGGAGAUGGAGGAAGAGUUGCACCUCCUGGCUCUGGGCAGUGCAAAUCACCCAGAGCUGCAGCACAGCAGUAUCCUCCACCAGGAUGGCUUCACCCGGACACACCUGCUUACCUGCUGUCACAUCCUAUUCAGCCCAUCAGGCUCUGCCUGGUGCUUUCAGGGUGCCUUCCCAUGUGCAGUGCUGCAAUAACCAGCCAGGAGCAGUGGCAUUGGUUUGGCCUUUCGUGCUUCAGUAUGAUGGAUGAAGAUGCUGAUAAAUAGCUGCCUCUAUGGGAGAGUGCUCUGAGUCCCCAGCUCUCAUACCUGGCUGUAGGAAUUGUCUUCCUGCUCACCUGUUAAAGGCUUCUGGAUCAUUGGAUGCUGUGCCCAGGGCAAAAGCCGUGCCCUGUGCACAAUAGGGGCUGGGGAUUUCCUGCUCCGCUGCUAUGAAAAACACUCCUCCUGCGGGACCAACAGCUGCAGUGAGGGGGCAAUGAAUGCAUAUCCCACAGGAGAGGGAAACAGUGGAAUAUCCUCAUCCAAGACAUGUCUGGGAAAGGAAAGAUUUCUUGAAGGAUUUUGGAUUUGGAAGAGCAGCACCUGAGCUCCUGGAGGCCCCAGCGGCUGCCAUGGGGAGCGGCACACAUCUGGGUGAGCAUCACACGGGGCUGUCGCGGCGCAUCCCACACCGCCCUCCCACCCGCUGCCUCCAGUGCUGAUCGGCGCUGCCCUGCAGAGCGCUUUGCUAUGCGAGAUGGAUGUGAGCUCCGUCUGGAAGGAUUAGCCUUUAAAAAGCACGGAGAGCGGAGCUUUGCUAAUGGGGAUCGUUGCGUCUCAGCCGCCCUUCCUUCCAGGGGAGGCGUGCGAAGUUCUCUUCCACCUGACAUCCCUCUGAGCGUUUAAACCCAACGAGUCCCAGGUCAACAGCAAACCUCCCACCGGCUCCGUAGGGUUGGGGCUGUGCCUCAGCCUCUCUGCUAACAAGAAGAGACAAGCUGAAGUGAGCGCUCAGACAGCAACCAUCAGGAUUUCACAGCGUGUUUUGCCAGCAACUUGUUGUUUUUAUUCAGUGAGGUUUUUUUUUUCCCUCCUCUGUGUGCUGUAGCGACUCAGCUCCAUCCCGGGCUGCUCCUGACAUUAACAAGGCAGCAGAUGACAGGCAAAAUGCGUCCACCAGCAAUUCUGAGUCUUCCCGCUAAGUAAUCAUAAAUGCUGCAAGUUUGCAACAAAGCGAGCAGCUGUCUCUCUCCCUCUGGACAAGAACUGCUUCCUCACAAAUUGAGGCUCUGCUGGGUUUUACAGCUGUCGGACAAUGAGUCUGGUGCUGUUAUUUCCUCUUCCUCCCCCCCCCCCCCCCCCCCACCCCCUUUUCCUUUCUUUUAAUGGAAAAUAUCUCAGCUUCGCCAGAACUCGAGUGGGCCCUCCAGCAGUGAAUCGAUUCAGUCAGGUGAUGAGGCUUUAAGGUCUGUUCUGGAGUGGGCACAGAGGGGCUGUGUUCCUGCACAUCCUCCUUCCAAGGCUUUAUUACCUUCGAUCCCACUCUUACGGGGAAGCAGACAUCUGUUUGGGGCUGGCAGAGGGUUUAACGGCGCACAACUGCCAUCCCAGAGAAUGGAGAGGGUUGGGACAGCCCCUGGGGAAGGUAACCUCGAGCUUUGCAGUUUCCUUCCAGACUGCUACAGCAUGGAUGGAGCCCCCAAAGAAACCUUCAUUCCUGUCCUAAAUGCAAGCAAAUGGAGAAUGAAGAUUGCUCUUUGUUACCUCACCGCUUCGAUGGAGUUGAUACCACGCUGGGAUGGCUGCACAGCCUCAGGAGCCUCUUGGAGACCGAUGUUCUGUGAUGCUUUUUGAGUGUCACCCCACAGGCUUCUGGUGCUGGGCAGGCAAAGGCCGUGUGGGUGCAUGGCUGAGGGCACAGGAGAGGAACGCUGCAGCUUCCCUGAGCCGUGGGCAUCGCUGCAGAGAGCUGCUGUAGGGCUCAGCAGCUGAAGGGCAGCACAGCACGGCUUUCCUGCAUCCCGUGGCUGCAGACUUGCUGCUGAGGGGGGCAGCACACCCCACAGCACAGCCAGAGAGCAGUGCAAAGGAAUUCCCUCCCCCACCGGGUGUUCACUGAUCCCACCUGAGCACACAGCUCCUCCUGGGCUGCUCAGUGCUAAGCAAACCCCAUUUGUCAGAUCCCUCUCAGUAUGUUGCUGCAACACUGCUCUCACCUGCAUUGCCCCUCUCCACAGUGUCGCCUUCUUGCCAUGACUGCCAGCUAAGAGGAGGCUUAAUUUUCUGCUGGUAUUCUGCAGCUCCCUCUGCACUCUCUCCCUCUUCCUCAGUGGGUCUGCUUAGCAGUGCAUGUUGGAUGAAAUUCAUACGUUCUGUUUGUGAUUGAGUGUAAUAAACUCUGGCUCCUGUGCCUUCCAGGUGGCUUUUGGGCAUGCAGCAUUUACUGCGUGAAGUGAUUGAUCUCUGAUCUUUAAAAUAGAGCUGUGAAGUCUACGGUGCAUUUGCAUGCAUGUGGAGUAUGAAGGCAGGAAAGAGCAGCUCAGAAACUCUCUAACCCCUGCCCUUUAUUUCCUUGGGUUGAGUUUUCCAUGUUUGACAAUGCGCGCGGUGGUGAUUUAUGUAUAACCAGAGCAGCCCCCAGUGGUCGGAUCUGUGAACUUUUCCAAGCUGCCCUUUUUGCAGCUCGCUCGUGGGUUUUGCAGAACCCCAACCCCUAUUUACCUCCGUGCUCUGAGCUCCGUUUAGGAGGAGAGGGACAGCUGGGAGCUGCGGGUGCGCUGCUUAUUCUGCUGGGAGCCAAUUCUGCCUCUAAUUGAGCUGAAAGCAGCUGCUCUGCCCUCGCCGCCGCAGGCCUGCUGUGCACAGCAGUUUUUGACAAUAGCUGAGAUAUAGGGAUACAGCGCUGCCUGUGCCAGCAUCC